rnacentral:rRNA from 1 species
GACGAACGCUGGCGGCGUGCUUAACACAUGCAAGUCGAACGAUGAAGCUAGAGCUUGCUCUGGUGGAUUAGUGGCGAACGGGUGAGUAACACGUGAGUAACCUGCCCCGAACUCUGGGAUAACUGCUGGAAACGGUAGCUAAUACCGGAUAUGACCAAUGAAGGCAUCUUCUGUUGGUGGAAAGAAUUUCGGUUCGGGAUGGACUCGCGGCCUAUCAGCUUGUUGGUGAGGUAACGGCUCACCAAGGCGACGACGGGUAGCCGGCCUGAGAGGGUGAUCGGCCACACUGGGACUGAGACACGGCCCAGACUCCUACGGAAGGCCGCAGUGGGGAAUAUUGCACAAUGGGCGCAAGCCUGAUGCAGCAACGCCGCGUGAGGGAUGACGGCCUUCGGGUUGUAAACCUCUUUUAGUAGGGAAGAAGCGAAAGUGACGGUACCUGCAGAAAAAGCACCGGCUAACUACGUGCCAGCAGCCGCCGUAA